rnacentral:rRNA from 1 species
CCUACGGGAGGCAGCAGUGAGGAAUAUUGGUCAAUGGCCGGAAGGCUGAACCAGCCAUGCCGCGUGAAGGUCAGUGCCCUAUGGGCGUUAAACUUCUUUUGUGCGGGAGCAAUAAUGGUCACGUGUGGCCAGACGAGAGUACCGUACGAAUAAGCAUCGGCUAACUCCGGGCCAGCAGCCGCGGUAAUACGGGGGAUGCAAGCGUUAUCCGGAUUUAUUGGGUGUAAAAGGUGCGUAGGCUGUGAGGUAAGUCAGCGGUGGAAGGCCCCCGGGCAACGGGGUGAAGUGCCAUUGAUACUGCCUUGCUGGAAUGCGGAUGCCGUGAGAGGAAUGUGUGGUGGAGCGGUGAAAUGCAUAGAUAUCACACAGAACACCGAUUGCGAAGGCAUCUCACGAAUCCGCGAUUGACGCUGAUGCACGAAAGCGUGGGUAUCAAACAGGAUUAGAUACCCCAGUAGUC